GCCGAAGCUGCACCCUUUGUAAAUGUACCUUUUGUUGCUUUGGCAGGAGCUGCCUAGCGUAUGCUAGGCGGCUGCGGCUCACCCCGUAGCCCUGCCAGAGGACCCAACUCUUGAUUUUAGUGAUGUCUGAGUACUAUUAAAUAGUUAAAACUUUCAACAACGGAUCUCUUGGUUCUGGCAUCGAUGAAGAACGCAGCGAAAUGCGAUAAGUAAUGUGAAUUGCAGAAUUCAGUGAAUCAUCGAAUCUUUGAACGCACAUUGCGCCCGCUGGUAUUCCGGCGGGCAUGCCUGUUCGAGCGUCAUAAUGACCAACUCACGCUCCGCGUGGUCUUGGGGUCCGCUUCCGGGCGGCCCUUAAACGCAGUGGCGGUGCCGUGCGGCUCUCAGCGUAGUAAUUCUUCUCGCUCCAGGGUCCGGACGGUGCUGGCCAGCAACCCCAACUACAUAAGGUUGACCUCGGAUCAGGUAGGGAUACCCGCUGAACUUAAGCAUA
rnacentral:rRNA from 1 species